CCUUGUACACACCGCCCGUCACACCACGAAAGUUGGUCAGACCCGAAGCCGUUGACCUGACCCGCAAGGGGAGGAAGCGUCUACGGUCAGGCCGAUGAUUGGGGUG
rnacentral:rRNA from 1 species